CUAGUAGUCAAAAAGCAAAGGGUUGGCUGUUGCUUUCUGGUCCGAAGCCUAGAAUGUUAGUAGUCCCUGAACUGCAAGCUGUGGAUGGGUAGUGGCCUCUCUGUGCCUGGAGCUGCAGCUUCCCUAGGAAAAAUUCGUAAUGCAUAUUUCUGGGGAUUUUCCAUAUUGAUGGAAGAAAAUGUUUGGGAUACCUAAGUGAAUCCAUUGAAGAUUAUGUCUGUUUAUCAGUUUUGGUGCAGAGGGGGAAUUGCUGUACUUUGGAGCUGGGAAAGGAUCUUUCAGAUGACGAUGAAGGUAUAGAGAGCCAUGAUAGUUUGUGAGUGGUCUGAUCAGGUGGUGAUUUGGAAGGAUAAUUGGAGGUGGUGAUAAGGUAGGUGAGCAGGGAGACCAUCGAGGAGGCUAGGCUUUUUCAGUGUGUAGGCAAGAGAUGAUGAAGCCCUAAACCAGUGGU